UACGGAGGGUGCGAGCGUUGUCCGGAAUCACUGGGCGUAAAGGGCGCGUAGGCGGCGCGGGAAGUCAUCGGUGAAAGUUCAGGGCUCAACUCUGAAUCGGCCGGUGAUACUCUCGUGCUCGAGCACUGUAGAGGCAGGUGGAAUUCCGGGUGUAGCGGUGGAAUGCGUAGAGAUCCGGAAGAACACCGGUGGCGAAGGCGGCCUGCUGGGCGAGUAGCUGACGCUGAUGCGCGACAGCGUGGGGAGCAAACAGG
rnacentral:rRNA from 1 species